rnacentral:lncRNA from 1 species
UCGUUGUUCCAUGUUACAUUGUCUUGAAGUUGAUUUGGAUAGCGAAGGAAGCUUUAUGUCUUCAACAUGGUGGUUGCAUCCUUUUAAAAGCAAGACCAAUUGCGUCCUGUUUGCCAAGGUCGUGCACGCCCUACCAAAGUUCAUCAUUAAUCUACUGAAUCAUUUGAAGUAACACGUUAAAUGGACCGUAUAAUAUUUUAUUCAGAAAAGCAAAGAUUUUGUGAUCUUCUGGUCACUACAUCUACACGGGCACCCGAUGAAAAUAUACACAUUAUUAAAUUAUUCAUGAUUGUUGUUUGGCAAAUGGUUCCUCCUCGUUCUUGGUGAUUACUUUUGUUAUAAAUCACAUAGAUGAUAUUCAGAUUAGACGACCAUCCACACAAUUACUUUAAAUACAACUAUACCCUCCUUUCCGGUUUAUAGGGCUUAUCUCAAUUUUUUUGCUUUUCCGAUUUAAAGGUCUCAUCUCCAUGUCCCAUUGAGAUUCUGAGGCGAAUUAACCUUUGCAUGCGAUUAUUAAAAAGGAACUCACCGAUGCAUGAAAUGGUCCUACUCAUCUAGUGGCCAAGCAUGUUGGCGCCGCCUCCCGCAGCGCCGCACUUCUUCUUCUUCCUCUCCUCUCACAACUCUCACUUGUCUUUCUCUCUUCUCAAGAACACACACAAGGGAAAGAAGACUCAACACACACACACACACUUCACCGUGGAGAAAGCCAGCUUUGCUAUGUUGCUCCCGGUGAGAACACACACACUACAUUGUUUUUCCCAGCCCUCUCGGCUUCAAUGCUUUUCAUUACCCUGUUGCCAUAUUUAUAUACAAAGGACCAGACUCAUGCCAUGCACACAGGCCACUAAGUCCGGCCACUAACCAACUAAUCCCUAACUACAUGUCUACAUGCACGCCCACGUCCAGUACAUGCGCAACGUCCUCUCAACAGCUACACGAUCUGGACAUGCAGCUAACAAACUUGACCACAUCUAAUACUAGACCUCUUCUCAAGGCCACAACAGACUUACUGAUCGACUCGGCUGGACUCUUGCUGGCCGCUGGCUCUUAUCCUUGUGCAGCUGCUUCACACGGCACUCGGCAUCUCGCACCUAAGCCGCCUCGCACGACAAUAGCAUCUCACCAUGCACGUUCUUGGGCCGACGGCUCGCUGUCUACGUACGUAUCACACGUACAUCUUGCCGGUGUACAGCCGACGAUAUGACUACACUAGCUACAUGCAAAACAAAAAAACACAUGCAGAUACAUAUGCCAAGAUUAGUUCUAACAAUCACCUCCCUAAUCUUGUCAUGCCAACUCGCCAAAUCCUCAUGCGGAUCACCCGCAACACCUUGCCAUGGACGACGUGCCGUCGCAGCGCCGAAGUCGACAUGGCCAUCAUCACGACGACCACGCCAUCGCCGUGCUGGUCACCACGCCAUCUUGCCGCACCAUCAUGCUGCAAUUUUUGUUGGCUUCUCACCAACUCUUCACCAUGACGAUGGCAUCACACCACCGCCGUCGGCUUCGCACCGACCCAAGCGACAACAUCGCGCCGUCGUCCAUCUUCUUAGCGGCAUCACACCGCGUCUCCUUGCAACAGCAUCGCACCGUCGUCGUGGCGGCAUCGCACCGCCGUCUCCUCCUAGCGGCAUCUUACCGCAACCACCUGUCCGUGCGGCAUCACACCGCCAAACACCUCCUUGUCGUGGACGACGCCGUCGCAGCGCCGGACACCACCGUGCACCAUCUUGUCGUGGUCGACGCCGUCGCAGCGCCGGACACCACCAUGCACCAUCUUGUCGUGGUCGACGCCGUCACAGCGCCCAUCACCACACCAUCAUCAUCUUGCGGCAUCGCACCGCAACCGGCCACCAGCGGCAUCGCGCCGCCAAUGGCCUUCAUCUCGCACGGACGUCCUCCACGUCACAUGGAGUCCGCCGCGUCGUCGUCACCGCCAUCGCUUCCGCGGAUCGACAAGGCUCUGAUACCAAUUGUUGGCGCCGCCUCCCGCAGCGCCGCACUUCUUCUUCUUCCUCUCCUCUCGCAACUCUCACUUGUCUUUCUCUCUUCUCAAGAACACACACAAGGGAAAGAAGACUCAACACACACACACACACACUUCACCGUGGAGAAAGCCAGCUUUGCUAUGUUGCUCCCGGUGAGAACACACACACUACAUUGUUUUUCCCAGCCCUCUCGGCUUCAAUGCUUUUCAUUACCCUGUUGCCAUAUUUAUAUACAAAGGACCAGACUCAUGCCAUGCACACAGGCCACUAAGUCCGGCCACUAACCAACUAAUCCCUAACUACAUGUCUACAUGCACGCCCACGUCCAGUACAUGCGCAACGUCCUCUCAACAGCUACACGAUCUGGACAUGCAGCUAACAAACUUGACCACAUCUAAUACUAGACCUCUUCUCAAGGCC